rnacentral:rRNA from 1 species
AGUAGCCGCGGUAAUACAGAGGGUGCGAGCGUUAAUCGGAUUUACUGGGCGUAAAGCGUGCGUAGGCGGCUUUUUAAGUCGGAUGUGAAAUCCCUGAGCUUAACUUAGGAAUUGCAUUCGAUACUGGGAAGCUAGAGUAUGGGAGAGGAUGGUAGAAUUCCAGGUGUAGCGGUGAAAUGCGUAGAGAUCUGGAGGAAUACCGAUGGCGAAGGCAGCCAUCUGGCCUAAUACUGACGCUGAGGUACGAAAGCAUGGGGAGCAAACAGGAUUAGAUACCCGUGUAGUCCCUGUCUCUUAUACA